AACGAACGCUGGCGGCAUGCCUAACACAUGCAAGUCGAACGAGACCUUCGGGUCUAGUGGCGCACGGGUGCGUAACGCGUGGGAACCUGCCCUUAGGUUCUGAAUAACUCCCCGAAAGGGGUGCUAAUACCGGAUAAUGUCUUCGGACCAAAGAUUUAUCGCCUUUGGAUGGGCCCGCGUUGGAUUAGCUAGUUGGUAGGGUAAAAGCCUACCAAGGCGACGAUCCAUAGCUGGUCUGAGAGGAUGAUCAGCCACACUGGGACUGAGACACGGCCCAGACUCCUACGGGAGGCAGCAGUGGGGAAUAUUGGACAAUGGGCGAAAGCCUGAUCCAGCAAGGCCGCGUGAGUGAUGAAGGCCUUAGGGUUGUAAAGCUCUUUUACCCGGGAUGAUAAUGACAGUACCGGGAGAAUAAGCUCCGGCUAACUCCGUG
rnacentral:rRNA from 1 species